GCUUUGUUUAUAUAUUGAUAAUGAAGAAAAUAUAUCGUGUCUUGACUAAUUGCGUGCCAGCAGUCGCGGUAAUACGUAAGAGACUAGUGUUAUUCAUCUUUUCUCUGGGGUAAAGGGUACCCAGACGGUCAAUAUAGCUUCUAAAAUGUUAGUACUUGACUAGAGUUUUAUGUAAGAGGGCAGUACUUGAGGAGGAGAGAUGAAAUUCCGUGAUACCAAAGGGACUCUGUAAAGGCGAAGGCAGCCCUCUAUGUAAAAACUGACGUUGAAGGACGAAGGCACAGAGAACAAACAGGAUUAGAUACCCAAGUAGUCUUUGCAGUAAAUGAUGAAUGCCAUAGGUCAGAUUAAUGUAGAUGAGGGACUAGACAUUAAACGUUAUUUGGUCUAUAAAUGAAAGUGUAAGCAUUCCACCUCAAGAGUAAUGUGGCAACGCAGGAACUGAAAUCACUAGACCGUUUCUGACACCAGUAGUGAAGUAUGUUAUUUAAUU
rnacentral:rRNA from 1 species